GGGGGUGGCCCCGCCCCCCUGACUUGGAGCAUGUCCCAGCGCCGUCAAAGGGACUUGAAUUUCCCCCGUGAUGGGCCGGGAAUGGAAUCCAACGCCCGUCGAGUUCAGAGGCGGCGAGAGCCUGGCUCAGGGCUCGCAAGCACCUGUGUCUCCACACACGUACGGUUGUGUGUUCCCACCACCUACUGGCACCUGAUACAUGGUGGCUGCUCCGGAGGCAUCCGUCGAAUGAUGAGUGAGCAUUUCGGUUGAUUGCCAGAGAGUUUCUGACUACACAGAUAGAGGACCUGAAAAAGAGAGAGAGAAAAGGAUAAUUUAAUCUCUUGGUUUCCAAUAAUUAAACUCAUUUUUUCAUUGUCUCGUUGGUUAAAAACUACCAGAACAACAUUGAAUAAUAGGGUGAGAGGGUACACGUUUUA